rnacentral:rRNA from 1 species
GACGAACGCUGGCGGCGCGCUUAACACAUGCAAGUCGAACGGAAAGGCCCCUUCGGGGGUGCUCGAGUGGCGAACGGGUGAGUAACACGUGGGUGAUCUGCCCUGCACUUUGGGAUAAGCCUGGGAAACUGGGUCUAAUACCGGAUAGGACUACGCGAUGCAUGUCGUGUGGUGGAAAGCUUUUGCGGUGUGGGAUGGGCCCGCGGCCUAUCAGCUUGUUGGUGGGGUGAUGGCCUACCAAGGCGACGACGGGUAGCCGGCCUGAGAGGGUGUCCGGCCACACUGGGACUGAGAUACGGCCCAGACUCCUACGGGAGGCAGCAGUGGGGAAUAUUGCACAAUGGGCGCAAGCCUGAUGCAGCGACGCCGCGUGAGGGAUGACGGCCUUCGGGUUGUAAACCUCUUUCAAUAGGGACGAAGCGCAAGUGACGGUACCUAUAGAAGAAGCACCGGCCAACUACGUGCCAGCCGCCGCAGUAACAC